UACGUAGGUGGCAAGCGUUGUCCGGAUUUCUUGGGUUUAAAGGGUGCGUAGGCGGCCCUGUAAGUCAGUGCUGAAAUAUCCCGGCUUAACCGGGAGGGUGGCAUUGAUACUGCAGGGCUUGAGUACAGAUGAAGUAGGCGGAAUUGACGGUGUAGCGGUGAAAUGCAUAGAUAUCGUCAAGAACACCGAUAGCGAAGGCAGCUUACUAAGCUGUAACUGACGCUGAGGCACGAAAGUGUGGGGAUCAAACAGG
rnacentral:rRNA from 1 species